rnacentral:rRNA from 1 species
CGAACGAGGUAGCAAUACCGAGUGGCGAACGGGUAGAGUAACACGUAGGUAACCUGCCUUAAGCUUGGGAUACCCAGAGGAAACUUGGCUAAUACCGGAUAACAACAGAGAAGGCAUCUUCUUUGCUUGAAAGGCCCUUCAAGGGUCACUUAAGGAUGGACCUGCGGCGCAUUAGCUAGUUGGUGAGAUAACAGCCCACCAAGGCGAGGAUGCGUAGCCGAACUGAGAGGUUGAUCGGCCACAUUGGAACUGAGACACGGUCCAAACUCCUACGGGAGGCAGCAGUAAGGAGUUUUCGGCAAUGGGGGAAACCCUGACCGAGCAACGCCGCGUGAGCGAUGACGGUCCUUUGGGAAUUGUAAAGCUCUGUUGUAAGCCAUGAAUGACAGCUUGAGGAAAUGCAAGUUGUUUGACGACAGCUUACCAGAAAGCCACGGCUAACUACGUGCCAGCCGCCGC